GAUCAUGGUCAGGACGAACGCUGGCGGCGCGCCUAACACAUGCAAGUCGAACGAGCGAGAGAGAGCUUGCUUUCUCGAGCGAGUGGCGAACGGGUGAGUAACGCGUGAGGAACCUGCCUCAAAGAGGGGGACAACAGUUGGAAACGACUGCUAAUACCGCAUAAGCCCACGACCCGGCAUCGGGUUGAGGGAAAAGGAGCAAUCCGCUUUGAGAUGGCCUCGCGUCCGAUUAGCUAGUUGGUG
rnacentral:rRNA from 1 species